rnacentral:rRNA from 1 species
GGUUUGAUUAUGGUCGCGAUUGAACGCUGGCGGGAUGCUUUACACAUGCAAGUCGAACGGCAGCACGGACUUUGGUCUGGUGGCGAGUGGCGAACGGGUAUAAUGUAUCGGAACGCGCGUGCCUAGUAGCGGGGAUAACUGAGCCGCGAAAGCAGAAGCACUGGUCGCAUGUUGCCUCUUCGGGGGAAAGCGGGGACCUUCGUGCUCGCACUAUUAGAGCGGCCGAUAUCGGAUUAGCUAGUUGGUGGGGUAACGGCUCACCAAGGCGACGAUCCGUAGCUGGUUUGAGAGGACGACCAGCCACACUGGGACCGAGACAUGGCUUCAGACUCCUACGGGAGGCAGCAGUGGGGAAUUUUGGACAAUGGGGAAACCCUGAUCCAGCCAUCCUGCAAAAGGGGCGAAGGCUCUCGGGUUAAAGCACUUUUGGCAGGAAAAAGAAACGGCACGGGAUAACACCCCGCAACUGACGGCACUGCAGAAUAAGCACCGCCAACCACGCCAGCAGCCGCGUAAUACGUAGGGUGCAAGCGUUAAUCGGAAUUACUGGGCGAAAGUGGCGCAGGCGGUUCUGGAAAGAAAAGGAUGUGAAAUCCCAGAGCUUAACUGAACCGCAUUUUUAACUACCGAGCUAGAGUGUGUCAGAGGGAGGUGAAUCGGCGUGUAGCAGUGAAAUGCGUAGAUAUGGAGUGGAACACCGAUGGUGAAGGCAGCCUGUAUACACUGACGUUUGCGCACUGAAAGCGUGGGGAGCAAACAGGAUUAGAUACCCCAGUCCACGCUCCAAACGAUGUCAACUAGCUGUUAGCCCGGCCUCUGGUAUGCAGCUAAUGCGAAGUUGACCGCCUGGGGAGUACGGUCGCAAGAUUAAACUCAAAGGAAUUAGACGGGGACCGCACAAGCGGUGGAUGAUGUGGAUUGUUCGAUAACCGCGAAAAAACCUUACCUACCCUUGACAUGUCUGGAAUCCUGAAGAGAUUUGGGAGUGCUCGCAAGAGAACCGGAACACAGGCAAGCGCAUGGCUGUCGUCAGCUCGUGUCGUGAGAUGUUGCCAAGUCCCGCAACGAGCGCAACCCUUGUCAUUAGUUGCUACGAAAGGGCACUCUAAUGAGACUGCCGCACAAACCGAGGGAAGGUGGGGAUGACGUCAAGUCCUCAUGGCCCCUGGCGGGCAGGGCUUCACACGUCAUACAAUGGUCGGGACAGAGGGUCGCCAACCUGCGAGGGGGAGCCAAUCCCAGAAACCCGAUCAAGUCCGGAUCGCAGUCUGCAACUCGACUGCGUGAAGUCGGAAUCUGCUAGUAAUCGCGGAUCAGCAUGUCGCGGUGAAUACGUUCCCGGGUCUUUGUACACACCGCCCGUCACACCAUGGGAGGUUUUACCAGAAGUAGUUAGCCUAACCGUAAGGAGGGCGAUUACCACGGUAGGAUUCAUGACUGGUAAGCCAACAAAGGUGCAG